UACGAGGUGUGCAAGCGUUGCUCGGAAUCACUGGGCAUAAAGGGUGCGUAGGCUGUGCGGUCAGUCGGAUGUGAAAUCCCCCGGCUUAACCGGGGAAUUGCAUCCGAUACUACCGCGCUUGAGGGCGAAAGGGGCAAGCGGAAUUCCGGGUGUAGCGGUGGAAUGCGUUGAUAUCCGGGAGAACGCCGACGGCGAAGGCAGCUUGCUGGGUCGCUUCUGACGCUGAGGCACGAAAGCUAGGGGAG
rnacentral:rRNA from 1 species